GGCGAUGAUGGGCUUACCUAGAAACCUGCUGUUCCUCAUUCUUCCACUUGGAUUCUUACUGUUUUUGUUUUUCGCUAAUCAACAAGCUAACGCUCUGAUGCCCUAUCGCUCCGUAUGGGAUCUCAUGCAGCCGGGUGGCUACACAGAGGACCCAUUUCGGAUCCUAGAACAGAGUCCACUAAGCGUUCCGAAAUCAGCGGUGGACACGCUGGCAGUGGCACGUGCGGAUUGGAAGGAGACGAAUGAAGAGCACGUGAUAUGGAUGGACAUUCCAGGAGUAAAGAGGGAGGAUUUGAAGAUCGAGGUAGAGGAAAAUCGAGUGCUGAGGAUCAGUGGAGAGAUGAAGGGAGAGGCUGAGGUGGAAGGGGAGAGGUGGCACCGGGCAGAGAGGAUGAGUUCCUCGGGCAGGUUCUGGAGGCAAUUCAGGCUGCCCGCCAAUGCUGACGUGGAAAGGAUUAGG
rnacentral:misc_RNA from 1 species